UGCCCAGCAACUCCUAUCCCUACUUCCUCGCAGUACUGGCCGGGGUACGAGUAACCUUAGAGAAGAUCGGGUAACCAACCCCCGGUGGGAACUUUGGUCAUAUGCUGACAGGGAAGG
rnacentral:ribozyme from 1 species